CAGAAUGCCAUCAAGUGUGGGUGGCUGAGGAAGCAAGGAGGCUUUGUCAAGACUUGGCAUACUCGCUGGUUUGUGCUCAAGGGGGAUCAGCUCUAUUAUUUCAAAGAUGAAGAUGAAACCAAGCCCUUGGGUACUAUUUUUCUGCCUGGAAAUAAAGUUUUUGAGCAUCCCUGCAAUGAAGAGAACCCAGGGAAGUUCCUUUUUGAAGUAGUUCCAGGUAAGAUAUUUUCCUAGUCUGAUUAAAUUAUUGUCAUCCUGUGUUGGUAAAGGUGAAGAUGGGUCAGACAGGUUUCAUUCUUUUUUGAAUCAUGACUGAGAACCUUAAUUUGAGGCUUGGUUAGUGUUGACGCAGAUAAUGACUGCAGGUUUAUAUACUAGUACAAAUGAAUGCACUCACACACACAUACUCUGACCACGUGACUACUGGAUUUUCAUUUGUCCAUGAGACUCCAUAGUUGACCACAAGUCAUGAUACAGUAUUUGUUCAGGACUAUUGGAGAUGAAUUUGAUUUUACAGCGCUCUUGUGAUAUGAAAUUUGACAAGGAGUUAUAGGUUGAAUGCUUUGCCCAGUGGAAUCACUGACAUAUUUCCUCACAAAAUUGUAUCUUCAAGGAGGUUUUGCAAA
rnacentral:sRNA from 1 species